ensembl:lncRNA novel transcript
AGGUUUAACAGUGGAUUUUGUACUUUUACAGCUGCUCUUUGAUAAAAGAUGAAGAUGAAAAUAAAUUUAUAUUGCUAGCUUGAUGAGCUCAAGAGUCUAGGUGAAGAUUUACAAUUUCUCUGGGCCAGGAAUCCAGGCACACUUGGCUGGGCCCUUUGACUUUCAAGGUGACAUCAGGGCAUGGACUCACAACAUGCAUUUCAUCAGAACAGCAAGUAAGGAGAACCAGAAAGAGAGAAUGCUAUCAAGAUGGAAGUAACCAUCACUUACAACCUAAUCUCAGAAGUAAAUCCAUCACUUGAGCCAUAUUUUAUUGUUAGAAGUGAGUCACUGUUUCUAGCCAACACAUUUAAGAGGAGGAGAUUAUAGCGGGGCAGGAAUACCAGGAGGCGUGGAUCGUUGGGACCCAGCUUAGAAGGUUCACAACCACACUGUCUGAUGAAUUCUUGGUGCUCUAAACCUGAUUUUAUCCACCUCUCUGAAGGAGAUUCUGAGGGUCAGCUACAAUAUGGCAUUGGGUGUUUUAGUGUGUUAACGUCUUAAAUUUACACUUUAU